rnacentral:rRNA from 1 species
AUAUCAAUAAGCGGAGGAAAAGAAACCAACAGGGAUUGCCUCAGUAACGGCGAGUGAAGCGGCAACAGCUCAAAUUUGAAAUCUGGCUCUUUCAGGGUCCGAGUUGUAAUUUGUAGAGAUGCUUCGGGUCGUGGCUCCGGUCUAAGUUCCUUGGAACAGGACGUCAUAGAGGGUGAGAAUCCCGUAUGUGAUCGGUUGCCUUCGCCAUGUGAAGCUCCUUUCGACGAGUCGAGUUGUUUGGGAAUGCAGCUCUAAAUGGUGAGUAAAUUUCUUCUAAAGCUAAAUACUGGCCAGAGACCGAUAGCGCACAAGUAGAGUGAUCGAAAGAUGAAAAGCACUUUGGAAAGAGAGUUCAAAACAGUAC